AGAUAUUCCUUUAGAUAUAAAAGAACCAGAACUAGAGUCUGGAAUAACUAGAGUAAUCAUGAAGAUACCAGCUGUUGUACUUCUUUCGUGCUUCGCAGUGGCCGUUGGUGCCAUUCCGCAAAUCAUUAACGGUACCAAAGAAGCCGUCACUGCUCCGUACAUGGCAUCUCUAUUUGCAGCUUUUCAAAAAAUCAUGUGAAAAAAAUAUAAAAUGUCUAUAAAUGUUUUAUAUCUCCUUCGCAAUCCGAUUCCCGAAUGGAUCCAAUUCCAAAUUGGCAACAUGAAGUUAAGUAACAUAGUCGAGAGCAUCUUUUCUGAUGCCAUAUAUUACCACGAGGACUACGACGAAGAUCUGGGAAACAACGACAUCGGUUUGCUUCAUUUGAAUAGAAAUAUCAUCUGGACCAAUCUGAAAGCCGCGAUCAAUAUUUCAAGUCGCAACGCGAAUUUCUUAAGCUGGGGCCCUACUCAGGCAUAUUGUAUUUACAACUUCAUGCGUGAAUUGACUUAUUUUUUACGGGUCGUAUAAGAAUACUCGAUGAUUAAUCUUCGAAUUUUUCGCCGAAUGGCAAUUACUCCGAUGAUCUACAAAUAAUCACAUUGAAGAUUGUCGACGCUAAAACUCGUAAGCUCUGGAACAAGCCCAUCGACGAUUUCCAAAUCUGCGUUAUGAGCAAACCAGGAACCGGCCCCUCUUACGGUGAGUUUGGCGGUCCCCUCGUCGUCGACGGAAAACAAGUUGGCAUUGCUUCGUACUCCCGUACUUGUGGCACUGGAGUAGUGCCUGAACCCUUCAACAGGGUGAUAGCUCAUCGCGAUUAGAUUUCGAAGAGGACUGGCAUUAGAGAAUUGGCUGUAACUUUCAUUUCAAUAUAUCCCUGCUAACAGUUGGUGAUUGGAAUGGAUUAAGAUACGAAAAAUAAAGCACGAAUGCCGAUUAUGAUGAAUUAUUUUAAUCUAUUUCAGUCGGUAAUGGUGCUUUAUUUUUAGUACUAGAAAUUGGCUUGCUUAGCGUGCGUGCGUUGAUUUUAUUGUUGUUGAACUCUCUGAAGUUGCUCCCUAUUUCCACUGUACCUACCAGUAAAAUUUUUUGAUAACCCUCUGAAUCGGCUCUGUAAGAGCUUCAAUUCGAUACUAUCGUAAUCUCCCUUUUAGAAAUGGAUUAGAAAUGGAAUAUAAAAUUCGUUCUAAUCAUCAAUUGUUAGCAGGAUCUGUGAUACGAAGUUUUCACGUUUUUUCAAAAGCUAUUAUACAUUUUGUACAUCAGAUUACAAAAUAAUUGUGAUAAUAAAAACACGAAAAUAGAUAAAU